rfam:Echinostoma caproni strain Egypt genome assembly, scaffold: ECPE_scaffold0024180
ACACUGCUGACGAGUCCCAAAGAGGACGCAACAGCUGUCCAGUGC